rnacentral:rRNA from 1 species
UACUAGAGUAGCACUCGCAUAUCAAUAAGCGGAGGAAAAGAAACUAACAAGGAUUCCCCUAGUAACGGCGAGUGAAGCGGGAAGAGCUCAAAUUUGAAAUCUUAAAGGGUUUCCCUUUACGAAUUGUAGUUUAAAGAAGUGUUUUCUGUUGAGGUUUUGGUAAAAGUUCUUUGGAAUAGGACAUCAUAGAGGGUGAGAAUCCCGUAUUUGACCUUUACUUUCAACUUUGUGAUACACUUUCAAAGAGUCGGAUUGUUUGGGAAUGCAGUCCAAAAUGGGUGGUAAAUUUCAUCUAAAGCUAAAUAUUGGCGAGAGACCGAUAGCGAACAAGUACCGUGAGGGAAAGAUGAAAAGAACUUUGAAAAGAGAGUUAAACAGUACGUGAAAUUGUCAAAAGGGAAGCUGUUUGACACCAGUGUUGUUUUUCUGAAAAUCAAUUAAAGAACUGUUUAUGCUAAGUUGUUUAGACUUUAUCAGCUAACUGUUUAGUUUUGAGCUUUUCUUUAAUGCACUUUUCAGUUAACAAGUCAACAUCAAUUUCUUUUGCUGUAAAAAAGCUUGAGGAAGGUGGCUUGAGAUUCGUCUUAAGUGUUUAUAGCCUCUUGCCUAUGCAGUCGGAGAGAUUGAGGUCUGCAGCGUAGAUCCUUCGGGGCUAAAUGCAUUUGUGCUAAGUUAUAGCAUUUUAUAGACAACUUGUUGACUAUGAUUUGUCUUGUAGCUUACUCGCUUAUGUUAUUUUACCUACGCUUAGGAUGUUGAUCUACAGAGCGAGAGU